CUAAACCAGGACUAAACCAGGACUAAACCUACGCGGGUGCACCUCCGGCGUUUCUCUGCAGCUGAUUUGAGUGAAUUUGUAUCAAGAAAAACGAAAAAGCCGCCAUUUUAAUCCCGGUUUAAAAAGCUUUGUAAGGCGCGUUACUGACAUUUGUACCGAGUCAAAUAUGUCACAAACCUGUGCUUUUUCCUCCCGAGAGUCGUGGAGUCCGAAUCAGGGGACGGUCAGAAGCUGUCUUUGUAGAAAUAUCCCAAAGAUGAGGCUGGUGUCCGUAGAAAAGUUCAGAGUAGGUUUAAUUGCGCACUUUCUGGUCUCGACCAAAGUUUGCAAAGAUUGCAAUGUUUGAAAGAUGCACGUAGCAACAAAAAUAACAACAGCACGCACGUGCGCACUGACGUAAGCACGCUGGCGUCUUGGCGCGUUCUAUAGACAAAUCCCGCAAAACGCGGAAGUAGAGCGGAAGUGAAGCCGCGGCGCCAUUCCUGCGGUGCUGUGCGGCUAAGGAAGUAGCAGGAGUAGUAGUGUGUAGGCCGUAGCGGGAGUUGUUUACAUGUUCGCCAAAGUCCGUCUAGAGUUCAGUUUCUAUAUUGUUCAAGUGCGUGUGUUCAGUAAUGCCGGGAAGAUCUUGUUGUGUGUUGGGCUGUUUUAACAACAGUGUGAAAUGACAGGCCUGGAACAAGAGCGUGUGUGAAGUUCCCAAGCCGCUGUUGCACCUUGAUAGUCCGUGUUUACGGCCGGAUGGAGGCAGAGAUUGCCUGGGAGAGUGAAGGACCAAGAUUUGCGUCAGAAGUGGCUGAAAUACAUAAACCGACAAGGCUUCGAGCCAAACAAGAAUAGUGUGGCGUGUGGGAUACAUUUUCCUGAUGGACAACCUACAACAGAAAAUCCAUAUCCUGUUUUGUCCAUGGGUUAUGAUUGUUGUGUUGCAUCAGCUAGACCUCCUCCCAAAAGAAGAUGUCUUCAGCCAUUGCACAUGAACUCAAGUACUGAACCUGGACCUGAAACUGAACCUGAAGCUAUGGAAACAGAUGUCACAGAGAUGCCUCUGCAGACGUGUGAUGUUGGAAUUCAGUGGCCAGAUCACAUCGACCAUAAUUACAGUUUCAGCUACAGUAACAAGCCGGCGAUGAAGGACUGUGGCACUCAAACAGAUCUUACACCGUCAGUGUCAGCACAACAUUUAAAUGAGAAAGACUUUGUGUUUUUUACUGGUUUAUGCGCUGACAGUUUCUGGCAACUUCUGCACGUCGUUUUGACUUUUUGCUCACAACCACUUCUUAAUACCAGAUUGGCCAUCCAUGAACAAGUUUUGCUUGUUUUAAUGAGAUUGCGUCUGGGUUUAUUGUUUACUGACUUGGGGAAACGGUUUGGGGUGAGUAGAACCUUGGCAUCUAAAGUAUUUGCAUUUUGGAGACCAAUCCUUGCCAGGUUUAUGAGGGAAAAGGUAAUUGUUUGGCUGCCCAGGCAUUCACUGAACAGAAUCAGGCCCAAGACAUUUCACAAACAUUAUCCUAAAGCCACAUGCAUUACUGACUGUACAGAGGUCUUUGUACAAACACAAAGAACUUAAGAAAAAGAUCACAAACUUAUAGCAAUUACAAACAUCAUAACACAUACAAACUCCUAUACUGUAUACCCCCAAUGGCUAUGUCAUGUUUGUAUCCAGACUUUUUGGUGGAAGGGCCAGUGAUAAAUACAUCACAAAGAACUGUGGUUUUCUUCAUCACCUCAUACCUGGAGAUGAGAUCUUAGCAGAUCACGGAUUCACCAUCCAGGAUCUAUUGCCUCCAGGAGUGCGUCUCGCUCUUCCUGCAUUCACACGUGGACGUAAGAAGCUGUCUGAACGUGAGGUGACAUCCGGCCGUCGCUUAGCAAAUGUCAGAAUUCACGUUGAGAGAGCAAUACGAAGACUGAAAGGUUUUAACAUUUUGUGUCAUGUUUUCUCUGGUAGGUUGCAAAGUGUCGAUGAGAUUGUAACUAUUUGUGCAGGGUUAUGUAAUUUGCAACCUCAGUUAAAUCCAUGACAGCACUGAAUGAAAGAAAAAGAAACAACUGAAAUGAAUUACUUAUUAAAGAAGGUCACAGUAUACCAAAUAUUACUUGUAUUUCAGCAGAAAAAUCAACUAAGCAGCCGACAGUUUCAGACAACAAUGUAAAUAGUUGUACAGGUUUAAACCGUGAACAGAUGUUGAACUCUUGUUGUGUAUCAAGUUAACAUGACAAUGCAGUGUUGACAAUUAAAAUGUAACAUUUUUAACUGAACACAUAUUGAACUGUUGAUUUAUGUAUUACCGGUAUGUUGUCAUGCACAUACAUUUUUGUACUUUUUUUAUGUGCAUAUUAAAGUUUAAGUAUCUACUUGAGCCCACAAAUUUUCAUGAUCCCUUGUGCUAUUCGUGUUGCAUUUCCCUAAACAUGAGCAGUGGGUUUGACCGAGACACGUGGGACAGAGGGAAGAGGACGCUCCACGCAGCACCACGUGAUCACGACAAAGACUUUAUUAAAGACUUUAUUAAACAAGGAUUAAUAAAUAAAUACAAAACUAAAAGUGACAACGUCUG